CCACACCCUCACGGUAGUGGUGAGGUGUAACAACCUACUUCAGUGUUACUGGUGGUGACCAAGCCACACCCCUCACGGUAGUGGCGAGGUGUAACAACC